rnacentral:rRNA from 1 species
AGAGAUGUGUGAUGACGCAUAUCAAUAAGCGGAGGAAAAGAAACUAACUAGGAUUCCCUCAGUAACGGCGAGUGAAGCGGGAAGAGCUCAAAUUUGAAAUCUUCAAGGUUCUACCUUGACGAAUUGUAGUUUAUAGAAGUGUUUUCUGUUAGUGGAGUGGCAAAAGUUCUUUGGAAUAGGACAUCAUAGAGGGUGAGAAUCCCGUAUUUGGUCAUUCCUUCUAGCUUUGUGAUACACUUUCAAAGAGUCGGAUUGUUUGGGAAUGCAGUCCAAAAUGGGUGGUAAAUUUCAUCUAAAGCUAAAUAUUGGCGAGAGACCGAUAGCGAACAAGUACCGUGAGGGAAAGAUGAAAAGAACUUUGAAAAGAGAGUUAAACAGUACGUGAAAUUGUCAAAAGGGAAGCGUUUGACACCAGUGUUGUUUUUCCGAAAAUCAAUUACGAAUGUUUUAUUUUUGAGGAGUUAUGACUUCAUCGGCUUGCUCCUUUCUUUAUGAAACUUUCUUAAUGCACUUUUCGGUUAACAAGUCAACAUCAAUUUCUUUUGUUGUAAAAGGGUAUGAGGAAGGUGGCUUUCUUUUCGGAGAAAGUGUUUAUAGCCUUGUAGCCUCUGCAAUCGGAGAGACUUGAGGUCUGCAGCGUAGAUCCUUCGGGGAUUAGAUACAUUUGUGCUAAGUUAUAGCUUUUCAUAGACAACUUGUUGACUAUGUUUAGUCUUGUAGCUUACUCGCUGAUGCUAUUUUACCUACGCUUAGGAUGUUGACGAUCAGCUGAGCGCA